rnacentral:rRNA from 1 species
GUGCCUACGGGACGCAGCAGUAAGGGAUAUUGGUCAAUGGGGGAAACCCUGAACCAGCAACGCCGCGUGAGGGAAGACGGUUUUCGGAUUGUAAACCUCUGUCCUCUGUGAAGAUGAUGACGGUAGCAGAGGAGGAAGCUCCGGCUAAAUACGUGCCAGCAGCCGCGGUAAUACGUAUGGUGCAAGCGUUAUCCGGAUUUACUGGGUGUAAAGGGAGCGCAGGCGGCGCGUUAAGCCUGGUGUGAAAGCCCGCGGCCCAACCGCGGGACUGCAUUGGGAACUGGCGCGCUGGAGUGCCGGAGGGG